AACGAACGCUGGCGGCAGGCUUAACACAUGCAAGUCGAACGCCCCGCAAGGGGAGUGGCAGACGGGUGAGUAACGCGUGGGAAUCUACCUAGUUCUACGGAACAACAGUUGGAAACGACUGCUAAUACCGUAUACGCCCUACGGGGGAAAGAUUUAUCGGAAUUAGAUGGGCCCGCGUAAGAUUAGCUAGUUGGUGGGGUAAUGGCCUACCAAGGCGACGAUCUUUAGCUGGUCUGAGAGGAUGAUCAGCCACACUGGGACUGAGACACGGCCCAGACUCCUACGGGAGGCAGCAGUGGGGAAUAUUGGACAAUGGGCGCAAGCCUGAUCCAGCCAUGCCGCGUGAGUGAUGAAGGCCUUAGGGUUGUAAAGCUCUUUCACCGAUGAAGAUAAUGACGGUAGUCGGAGAAGAAGCCCCGGCUGACUUCGUGCCAGCAGCCGCCGUAACAC
rnacentral:rRNA from 1 species